rnacentral:misc_RNA from 1 species
GGGCGUCACUACAGGACCCUACAGGCUGCAGCUAACUUAACAUUGAUUGAUGUAUUAAAACAAAUGGCGUCCAGAUAGCAAGUAGCCAAUAACCUCAGAGUUUGUUAUUAUUUGUAAGUUAUAAAGCCUAAAACACACAGCAUCAUUAGUGAGAAUUAUAUCAAGAAGUGGAUAAUGGAGGAAUGUUUAUUACUGUGAUCGUCAUUGAGGAUUUACUGGAGACAAAGAGGAUCAUUUGACAUUAUUUUCCAUCACCAAUGUUAACUGCAAGACAAGUACAGCAGCAGGUUUCUAUACGAGAAGAACACCAAAACAGUGUCCUGGUUGGAGAUACAAAAACUUUAACUUCUGAUGGAGGCAGACGCCACCGCUGACAGUUCAUGAGGUGGAGGCCGUGACGUCACUACACAUGUCAACAACAACAAUCAUGCCAAGCACUGACUCUGUUUUUGGAUGUUUAUCUCAAAUUAAACUCAGGGUUGAGAUAAUUUUCCAUCGCUUUUUGAAAGAUAAAGAGCAGAGACGAUGGUGGAUUCAUUUGUGCAAGAGGAAAGACUUUACAAAUGCUUAAAAUGGCCAAAAAUGCUGCCUCCAUUUUGAGGCCAAUGGACUACCAGUACCAAGGAGACUAGCGAGUAAGGAAUACCAACAUUACAACUGCCGUGUUCAAAAGGAGAUGCUACAACAAAACUUUGGGAAAUUUAACUGCAUCAUCACAGCUGAAAAUGUCCAACUGAAGCAUGAAACACGAGAGCUGCCACCACCACCAGCAUGGCACUAUCACUAUCACCACCUAUGAAAAGAUUCUUUGCCAUUGCUGGGGGAGCUAACGACAAAUGGUCGAGUACCAUCUAACUCCUGGGUUAAGAUCCGCACGGUGUCAACAUACAGCAGAAUAUAAUCCGCGUGGUAUUGUUCAAAGCUGGAGGAAGUGCCAUACCUGGAGUACAAGAAACAAUUAAGUCACACAAAUUGGCCAAAUAUAUCUCAUUGUCCUUUUUAUUGGUGUCUCAUAGGUCACCCAGCAUACUGUACAGGGUCUCUCAUAUGUUUCAUAGGUCACCCACCAUACUGUACAACUCUCACUCCAAUAACGUUUCCCAUGAAAAUUU